GAUGAAGAACGUAGCGAAAUGCAAUAAGUAAUGUGAAUUGCAGAAUUCAGUGAAUCAUCGAAUCUUUGAACGCACAUUGCGCCCGCUGGUAUUCCGGCGGGCAUGCCUGUUCGAGCGUCAUUUCAACCCUCAAGCUCUCCGGAGUUUGGUGUUGGGGCGCCUGGGGCUUUUCGACCUCAGGGCCCUCAAGUCCAUCGGCGGGACCGCCAGGACACUGAGCGCAGUAGUAUUAUUUCGCUCGGUAGGAUCUUCCACGGCGGGUCGAUCUGGCCGCUAAACCCCCCAAUUCUCACCAAAGGUUGACCUCGGAUCAGGUAGGAAUACCCGCUGAACUUAAGCAUAUCAAUAAGCGGAGGA
rnacentral:misc_RNA from 1 species